AGGGUUGGGUGAUUUUGGUUACUUGAAAUUGUUUAUUUUUGUUGGUGCUUAGAUUGAUAUUAGUGUUUUUUUAGAGUUUUAUCUUAUAUGAGUAGAGUUAAAUUUUUCAAUUUGGGAUUUUAAUUUUUUGUUGAGUUAUUUUUUACUUUCUGAUGGCGUGCCAGCAGUUUCGGUUAUACGAUUAGUUUUUUAAAUUUUUUUUUAAGGUCUUUUUUUGCUUUUGGAAAAUUAAGGUGAAAUUUAAUUUGUUAUUGUUUGUGGAUUUUAAUUAAGUUAUUUUUUGGGAAAAGGAUUAGAUACCCUUUUACUUAUUUUUUUGUAGGUAGUAUUUUGAUUUAAGGAAACUUAUUGUAGAUGGCGGUUUAAAGGUUUUACAGAGGGGCUUGAAGAGUAAUAGAUGAUCCUCUUUUGAUUAUUACUUUUUUUUUUAUCUUUUGUAUUUUUGUAAUGUGGAGGCUUAUUGGCUUUUUGCGGGUAAAUUUUAUUUGUUAUUGCAAAUCAAAAUGUAGAUUAUAAAUUAGAUUUUUUUAGCCACAUUGUUUUGGUUUAGUUUGUAUUUUAGUAUUUGUAAGUAAAUUUGGGUUUUUUAUCUUUUUUGAAUUUUUAACUUUUGAUGUACAUAUCGCCCGUCGCUUUUAUUAUGGUAAAAUAAGUCGUAACAAAGUAGAAGUAUCGGAAG
rnacentral:rRNA from 1 species